rnacentral:piRNA from 1 species
UGGAUCUUUGCAUAUUCUCCUACCAAACAA